UGGGGAAUAUUGGACAAUGGGGGAAACCCUGAUCCAGCCAUGCCGCGUGUGUGAAGAAGGUCUUCGGAUUGUAAAGCACUUUAAGUUGGGAGGAAGGGCUUACGGUUAAUACCCGCUAAGUUUUGACGUUACCAACAGAAUAAGCACCGGCUAACUUCGUGCCAGCAGCCGCGGUAAUACGAAGGGUGCAAGCGUUAAUCGGAAUUACUGGGCGUAAAGCGCGCGUAGGUGGUUUGUUAAGUUGGAAGUGAAAGCCCCGGGCUCAACCUGGGAAUUGCUUUCAAAACUAGCAGGCUAGAGUACAGUAGAGGGUAGUGGAAUUUCCUGUGUAGCGGUGAAAUGCGUAGAUAUAGGAAGGAACAUCAGUGGCGAAGGCGACUACCUGGACUGAUACUGACAC
rnacentral:rRNA from 1 species